GCAGUCGUGGCCGAGUGGGUAAGGCGUCUGACUUGAAAUCAGAUUCCCUCUGGGAGCGUAGGUUCGAGUCCUGCCGACUGCG
rnacentral:tRNA from 1 species